UGACUCAGUGGUUACAGUGUCUGGCUCGCAAUCAUAAGGUACUGAGUUCAAUUCUCAG
rnacentral:tRNA from 1 species